GCAAAACACCAGUUUCUGUUCGAUCACCGACGUUAAGCAGCGUCAAGCCCGGUCAGUACUUAGAUGGGCGACUGCUUGGGAACU